rnacentral:rRNA from 1 species
AAGUUGUUGCGGUUAAAAGCUCGUAGUUGGAUUUCUGCUUGGGGUGGCCGAUGUGCCUUCUGGGUUACAGCCGGUUCAGCCUGAGCAUCUUCUUGGGAAUCGUGUCUGCACUUGAUUGUGUGGCACGGGUUCCAGGACUUUUACUUUGAGGAAAUUAGAGUGUUUCAAACAGGCGUCCGCCUUGAAUACGUUAGCAUGGAAUAAUGCGACGGGACCUCGGUCCAUUUUGUUGGUUUCUCGGGUUGAGGUAAUGAUUAACAGGGAUGGUUGGGGGCAUUCGUAUUUAACUGUCAGAGGUGAAAUUCUUGGAUUUGUUAAAGACGAACUACUGCGAAAGCAUUUGCCAAGGAUGUUUUCAUUGAUCAAGAAC